rnacentral:rRNA from 1 species
UUCUGAAUGUAAAUUUUAUUCAGUAAGACCUGCUCAAUGAAUUUUAAAUAGCCGCAAUUUAGUGCUAAGGUAGCAUAAUAACUUGCCUUGUAAUUUAAGGCUAGCAUGAAAGGUUUAACAUGAUAACUUCUUUAUAAAAAAAAAUUCUUAAAUUUUACCUAUAAGUAAAAAGGCUUAUAUUUUUAAGGGGGACGACAAGACCCUGACGAGCUUUACUUAUUAGUUGCACUGGGGUGGUAAAAAACUAUAUCUUUUUAAAACAUUUCCUUUUAUCCUUAUUAUAAGAUUUUUCAAGUUACCGCAGGGAUAACAGCAUAAUUUUUUUCUAGAGACCUUAUCUAAAAAAAAGAUUGUGACCUCGAUGUUGAAUAAUUUUCUUCUUGGAGCAGAAUCUAAGAAAGAAAGUCUGUUCGACUUUUAAUUCAUUACA